AUUGAACGCUGGCGGCAGGCCUAACACAUGCAAGUCGAACGAGUGGCGGACGGGUGAGUAAUGUCUGGGACACUGCCUGAUGGAGGGGGUUAACUACUGGAAACGGUAGCUAAUACCGCAUACCAUCGGAUGUGCCCCGAUGGGAUAAGCUAGUAGGUGGGGUAAAGGCUCACCUAGGCGACGAUCCCUAGCGGGUCUGCGAGGAUGACCAGCCACACUGGAACUGAGACACGGUCCAGACUCCUACGGGAGGCAGCAGUGGGGAAUAGUGCACAAUGGGCGCAAGCCUGAUGCAGCCAUGCCGCGUGUAUGAAGAAGGCCUUCGGGUUGUAAAGCACUGUCAGUGGGGAGGCGUUACCCGCAGAAGAAGCACCGGCUAACUCCGUGCCAGCAGCCGCGGUAAUAC
rnacentral:rRNA from 1 species